GGCCAUCUGUUCCAAUCUUUUUUUUGAAGACUCAUUUGUAGCCUAUUGGGGUCACACCCUCAGAUGCAUCUAUCAAAGUCCAUACUUGGUUGACAUACAUAGAGUCCAUUUCGGAUUUCAUGAUAUUGAGCCACUUGUCAGAGUCACUACUCAUGACAACUUUCGAAUAGGUCGUGGGAUCAUCAUUCUCAAUGAUAUGGUUUGUAUUGUCAUUCUCAAUGACAAACCCAUACCUGAAUGGUAUAUUAUGAACUCUACUCAAUCUUCAAAAAGAGGUGUG
rnacentral:lncRNA from 1 species